rnacentral:rRNA from 1 species
AAAACUUUCAACAACGGAUCUCUUGGUUCUGGCAUCGAUGAAGAACGCAGCGAAAUGCGAUAAGUAAUGUGAAUUGCAGAAUUCAGUGAAUCAUUGAAUCUUUGAACGCACAUUGCGCCCCUCGGUAUUCCGGGGGGCAUGCCUGUUCGAGCGUCAUU